CUACCAUGGCUUUUACGGGUAACGGAGGAUUAGGGUUCGAUUCCGGAGAGGGAGCCUGAGAAACGGCUACCACAUCUAAGGAAGGCAGCAGGCGCGUAAAUUACCCAAUCCUGACUCAGGGAGGUAGUGACAAGAAAUAACGGACCGGAGCUUAGUGCUCCGGGAUUGCAAUGAAUACAAUUUAAAUCCCUUAAUGAGGAGCAAUUGGAGGGCAAGUCUGGUGCCAGCAGCCGCGGUAAUUCCAGCUCCAAUAGCGUAUAUUAAUGUUGUUGCAGUUAAAAAGCUCGUAGUUGGAUUUCUGGGUAGGCGUCAAUGUCCUCUAGUUGAGUGUGCAGCGAUACCUUCUCAUCCUUCUGUUAACGUUUCUCGGUAUUCAUUUACUGGUUUCGGGCUCAGAUACUUUACCUUGAGAAAAUUAGAGUGUUUCAGGCAGGCUUGCGCCGGAAUACAUUAGCAUGGAAUAAUAGAAUAGUCUCUUUUGUUGGUUUGGGACAAAAGAAGAAAUGAUUAAUAGGGAUAGUUGGGGGCAUUAGUAUUGCGAAGUCAGAGGUGAAAUUCUUAGAUUUUAGCAAGACUAACUUAUGCGAAAGCAUUUGCCAAGGAUGUUUUCAUUAAUCAA
rnacentral:rRNA from 1 species